rnacentral:rRNA from 1 species
CCUACGGGUGGCAGCAGUGAGGAAUAUUGGUCAAUGGGCGCGAGCCUGAACCAGCCAAGUCGCGUGAGGGAAGACGGUCCUAUGGAUUGUAAACCUCUUUUGUCGGGGAGCAAAAGACGCCACGUGUGGCGUUCCGAGAGUACCCGAAGAAAAAGCAUCGGCUAACUCCGUGCCAGCAGCCGCGGUAAUACGGAGGAUGCGAGCGUUGUCCGGAUUUAUUGGGUUAAAAGGGUGCGCAGGCGGAAGAUCAAGUCAGCGGUAAAAUUGAGAGGCUCAACCUCUUCGAGCCGUUGAAACUGGUUGUCUUGAGUGAGCGAGAAGUAUGCGGAAUGCGUGGUGUAGCGGUGAAAUGCAUAGAUAUCACGCAGAACUCCGAUUGCGAAGGCAGCAUACCGGCGCUCAACUGACGCUCAUGCACGAAAGUGUGGGUAUCGAACAGGAUUAGAUACCCCGGUAGUC